CCAUAGUAGCACUCGGGUGGCUAACCAGUAAUUAGCGAGGGUGCCUUUUUGUAUACAUAUGGCCGCUUCGUUAGGCACGGCAGUUCGAGUCCCUUGGUUCACUGCUUUCCGGUCUGUACUGCUAUCCAUGCUGAAAGGUAUUCGUGGGUCUACAAACGCGUCCCGCUGGCGUGUGUGUGCUCCACUGAAGGUCUGUGCUGGAGACGCCGAGUAGGCACCAGUCUCGCUCGCGCUAACCGGAAGGCACGUAGAGGGAAAGAUCCCGGGAGGGGAUCUCUUUUAAUAUGUGGGAGUGAGGAGUGAGUGACGGCGGAGCGCUGCAGAUCCAGACCGCUUCCAGGAGUGAUGCCCAGGGCAGGCAAAGCAGCGGAAGCCGGCAGGAGAAGAGAAGCGAGGCUGGAGCGGCGGCACCCCAGGCUGGGCAGGAGGCGAAUCAGGACGGUACCCCUGUGCAGUAAGGAACGUGACUGGCGGUGUUGCCAUUUGUGUCUGUGCAUUCCUUAUUGCAGUCGGCCCAGCCUUGCAGAGCGGGUGAUUCGUGCCGCUGUGUUCUUUUCCCCCAGCGCGGCCAUAGCGCCUGCUCCGGAGCUGCGCAAGAAGGACGAGUGGCGAAAAUCAGCGUCGAGAGGGAGCGGUCUGGACCAAGGGCAUCAGCAGCACUCCGUCCCUGUUUUUUUUUGUUUUUUGUUUUUUUUAGUCCCACCCUUUGUUUUUGUUUGCGCGUGUGUGUGUUGGCGUGUGUGUGUGAGGACCCACUCCUCCCUGGAGACGAGAGAAGGGCCGCCAUAGAGAAGGGGGCGGGAGGAAGGUUAGGAGGGGUGGGAUCAGUGGAGUGUGAGCCAUCCCUGCAUGAAUUGUGUUUUUUU